CGAUCCUGAUGGGAGUCAAACCUACAUUCUUUGGCUACGAAGACCAACGCCUUUUCCGUUGGGCCACAGGACA